rnacentral:rRNA from 1 species
AACGAACGCUGGCGGCAGGCAUAAUACAUGCAAGUCGAGCGCCCCGCAAGGGGAGCGGCAGACGGGUGAGUAAAGCGUGGGAAUCUACCCAUCGCUACGGAGUAACGCAUGGAAACGUGUGCUAAUCCCGUAUACGACCUUCGGGAGAAAGAUUUAUCGGAGACGGAUGAGCCGGCGUUGGAUUAGCAAGUUGGUAGGGUAAAGGCCUACCAAGGCGACGUUCCAUAGCUGGUCUGGGAGGAUGAUCAGCCAAACUGGGACUGGGACACGGCCCAGCUUCCUACGGGGGGCACCGGAGGGGCAUAUUAGAAAAUGGGGGCAAUCCUGGUCCAGGCAGGCCGGGGGAGUGAGGAAGGCCCUAGGGUUGUAAAGCUGUUUCACCGGUGAAGAUCAUGACGGUAACCGGAGAAGAAGCCCCGGCUAACUUCGUGCCAGCCGCCGCGGUAAGAC